UAGGAUCUGUGGUCAUAUGUAUGAAUGGUC
rnacentral:piRNA from 1 species